GAUGAACGCUGGCGGCGUGCCUAAUACAUGCAAGUCGAGCGAACAGACGAGGAGCUUGCUCCUCUGACGUUAGCGGCGGACGGGUGAGUAACACGUGGAUAACCUACCUAUAAGACUGGGAUAACUUCGGGAAACCGGAGCUAAUACCGGAUAAUAUAUUGAACCGCAUGGUUCAAUAGUGAAAGACGGUUUUGCUGUCACUUAUAGAUGGAUCCGCGCGGCAUUGGCUAGUUGGUAGGGUAACGGCUUACCAAGGCAACGAUGCGUAGCCGACCUGAGAGGGUGAUCGGCCACACUGGAACUGAGACACGGUCCAGACUCCUACGGGAGGCAGCAGUAGGGAAUCUUCCGCAAUGGGCGAAAGCCUGACGGAGCAACGCCGCGUGAGUGAUGAAGGUCUUCGGAUCGUAAAACUCUGUUAUUAGGGAAGAACAAAUGUGUAAGUAACUAUGCACGUCUUGACGGUACCUAAUCAGAAAGCCACGGCUAACUACGUG
rnacentral:rRNA from 1 species